GAAGCGUCACGUUUUUUGGGCGCGAACGUUACAUACGAUACUUUGACUGUGGGAACAGCGUUAAUUUCUUUGAAAUGGUUUUACACAACUUUUGGGCGUGGCAUCGUCGGAAGCUAUGAUCACGUGAUGUUGUUCACUGGUUAUAACUUGACUAAUAAUGUUGGUAAAGGACAAACCACAGAUAUUUUUGGGGGCUCUAAUGGUGGAGCAAUGUGUGAAACAGACGGGCAAAGCUGCUCUGUAAUAGAAGAUCGCGACGGCUACAGUACUUCUACUAUUGAUACGGUAGCACAUGAAUUGGCGCACGGCCU